CCAUGGUCUCUGUCACUCAGGCUGGAUGCAGCAGCACAAUCAUAGAUCACUGCACUAUCAACUUACUGGGCUCAAGUGAUCCUUUCACCUCAGCCUCCCAGGUAGCCAGGAUUACAGAAUAUGACUCCUUAGACUUCAGUUUGCAGCCCAUCGAGACCAAGAUUACAUCAUUACCGUUUAUGUGGUAUGUUACACACUAAUCAUGACCAUUACCGCUUACAAGUCUACAGCUUCGUUCAAUUAGCUGCCUGACAUGGAUUUUUUAGUUAAUUCGUGGUGAAGGUCGGCAGCGGUCAGAGUGGCAGGUGCAUUCUGCUACCUUUUUGAAUGCCAAUUAUCAGUCUUGGGUAAUUAGAGUGACUCGUAUAGACAAGUUAAUCA
rnacentral:lncRNA from 1 species